rnacentral:rRNA from 1 species
GAUGAACGCUAGCGGCAGGCUUAAUACAUGCAAGUCAAGGGGUCAGCAAUGACACCGGCGGACGGGUGAGUAACGCGUACACAACGUACCUUUAACUGGGGGAUAGCAUUUGGAAACGAGUGGUAAUACCACAUGUGGUUGUAGGGAGGCAUCUUUUUGCAACUAAAACUCAGGUGGUUAAAGAUCGGUGUGCGUCUGAUUAGCUUGUUGGUGAGGUAACGGCUCACCAAGGCUACGAUGCAUAGGGGGGUCUGAGAGGAUGAUCCCCCACACUGGUACUGAGACACGGACCAGACUCCUACGGGAGGCAGCAGUAGGGAAUAUUGGGCAAUGGACGAAAGUCUGACCCAGCCACGCCGCGUGAAGGAUGACUGCCCUAUGGGUUGUAAACUUCUUUUGUAUGGGAAGAAAUUCCGAACGUGUUCGGAGCUGACGGUACCAUAAGAAUAAGCAUCGGCUAACUCCGUG